UAAUAGUAUCGGAACGUACCCUGGAGUGGGGGAUAACGUAGCGAAAGUUACGCUAAUACCGCAUACGAUCUAAGGAUGAAAUGGGGGAUCGCAAGACCUCAUGCUCCCGGAGCGGCCGAUAUCUGAUUAGCUAGUUGGUAGGGUAAAAGCCUACCAAGGCAUCGAUCAGUAGCUGGUCUGAGAGGACGACCAGCCACACUGGAACUGAGACACGGUCCAG
rnacentral:rRNA from 1 species